ACAUUGAAUCUUUUCCCGGGAGGCUUCACUGCACACAUUUCAAUCAACUUUAAAGAUGGGAAAUGCUUGUUCGGGUGGUAAAGGGAAAGGUAAUGGGGGAGUCAUGAAGUCAGUGAACAAAUUCUGUAAAUGUGGAGGACCACGCCCCCAUUCCGGGCAUAGCCGAAAGGGUUCCGGUCAUAGCCGAAAGGGUUCCGGAAAAGGCCGAGGCAAAGGUCAUGGUCGUAAACGAAGAGGAUCGGGAUCAUCCAAAGGAUCACAUUGACCUAAUGUCUAAUCUAGUUGUUAUGUUAUAUCACCAUUGUUGUUUGUUGACUGCACUCACUUCAAGCUACUCUACGUUACUUAUAUGAACUGUGAAUUUGUUGAAUUAAUUUCCCCCCACACUCAAAACGGUGCUUUCAGACUACUGGGUAUGCUUACACGAUACGAGAGGAAAAAUCCAAGCAUUGAAAAUUGACUUGAAGCAAGAGUGAACAUAAUUUGAAAAUCUAGGCCAGUUUGACAUGCUCAUGCGCUUUUCAACUUUAAGAUACCCAUGUAUUAUGCAUAAAAAUAACAGUAAUUAACUCUCGAGACUUAUUUUGUUUAUUGCAAUGACUUUGCAGAUAUGAAUAAAGUUUUAAAAAG
rnacentral:sRNA from 1 species